rnacentral:rRNA from 1 species
CCUACGGGUGGCAGCAGUGAGGAAUAUUGGUCAAUGGCCGUAAGGCUGAACCAGCCAAGUAGCUGAGGGAAGACUGCCCUAUGGGUUGUAAACCUCUUUUAUGCGGGGAUAAAGGUGUCCACGUGUGGAUGUUUGCAGGUACCGCAUGAAUAAGGAUCGGCUAACUACGUGCCAGCAGCCGCGGUAAUACGUAGGUGGCAAGCGUUAUCCGGAUUUACUGGGUGUAAAGGGCGUGUAGGCGGGACUGCAAGUCAGAUGUGAAAACCACGGGCUCAACCUGUGGCCUGCAUUUGAAACUGUAGUUCUUGAGUACUGGAGAGGCAGACGGAAUUCCUAGUGUAGCGGUGAAAUGCGUAGAUAUUAGGAGGAACACCAGUGGCGAAGGCGGUCUGCUGGACAGCAACUGACGCUGAGGCGCGAAAGCGUGGGGAGCAAACAGGAUUAGAUACCCUAGUAGUC